rnacentral:rRNA from 1 species
AGUGAACGCUGGCGGUAGGCCUAACACAUGCAAGUCGAACGGCAGCACAGUAAGAGCUUGCUCUUACGGGUGGCGAGUGGCGGACGGGUGAGGAAUACAUCGGAAUCUACUUUUUCGUGGGGGAUAACGUAGGGAAACUUACGCUAAUACCGCAUACGACCUACGGGUGAAAGCAGGGGAUCUUCGGACCUUGCGCGAUUGAAUGAGCCGAUGUCGGAUUAGCUAGUUGGCGGGGUAAAGGCCCACCAAGGCGACGAUCCGUAGCUGGUCUGAGAGGGUGAUCAGCCACACUGGAACUGAGACACGGUCCAGACUCCUACGGGAGGCAGCAGUGGGGAAUAUUGGACAAUGGGCGCAAGCCUGAUCCAGCCAUACCGCGUGGGUGAGGAAGGCCUUCGGGUUGUAAAGCCCUUUUGUUGGGAAAGAAAAGCAGCAGGUUAAUACCCCGCUGUUCUGACGGUACCCAAAGAAUAAGCACCGGCUAACUUCGUG